GGUGGUUUUGGUGGUCUCCAGGUAUUUCGGGGGGGGUGUCCCCGCAUUUUGGGGGUCUCCAGGUGUUUUUGGGGGUAUCCCCAUAUUUUGGGGGUCUCCAGGUGUUUUUGGGUGUACCCAGGUAUUUCGGGGGUGCCCAGGUGUUUUGGGUGUACCCAGGUAUUUCGGGGGGGGUAUCCCCAGGUAUUUCGGGGGUGCCCAGGUGUUUUUGGGUGUACCCAGG